rnacentral:misc_RNA from 1 species
GAUCAGCAGCCAAAUUACUAGCUUUCAGCAUAUCUGGAUGAGCAACACUGGUUGUUUGGGAACUAAUGGCUGUUUCCAGGUUGGAUAAUCUUAUCAAAUCUACAGGUGAAGCAGCAACAGUAUUUGAAUCCUUUUUAGCAGAUACAAAGGUCUCCUGCUGACUGGAGCCUGCUUCGUUAAAUUGGACAAUAUGCACACUAGACUGCUUGAACUGUUCAUGGAACACGGGUUGUUCCGUACCAACGAAAUCUUGCGCUGGAGAACUAUUUUGUACUCUUUUGCCAAUAUUUAUUUGAGGCUCUGGCAAGUCAACAGUAUUAAGAGGUCUU